UGGAAGCUGUAAAUAAAAGUGGAAGACUUUAAAUAUUUUGUAAUUAAAAUGUUUUUAUUUCGCAGGUCUACUGGACUGCUAUUGUAUUUUAUAGCGUCACCCUGUUGUUAGAAGAAUGUGUUGGGGACAGACAGGACAGUUUUCAUAGGGUUUUCUGUCUUAAGUGAAGGAGACUAAUGCCGUCACAAGUAAGGUAGAUAACUCAGAUCAGACAACUGUCCAGAACCCUGACAAGCUACGGGAAAAGAGAUACUUUCAUAAAUUGGGAUAUCUCAGAACUCUGAAAAGCUAUCGGGGGGAAAAGAGAAACUUUCAUAAGUUGCCACAUCUCAGAACUCUGACAAGCUAUGGGAAAAGAGAAACUUUCAUAAGUUGCCACAUCUCAGAACUCUGACAAGCUAUGGGAAAAGAGAAACUUUCAUAAGUUGCCACAUCUCAGAACUCUGACAAGCUAUGGGAAAAGAGAAACUUUCAUAAGUUGCCACAUCUCAGAACUCUGACAAGCUAUGGGAAAAGAGAAACUUUCAUAAGUUGCCACAUCUCAAAAGCUAUGGAAAAACAGAUAAGCUAUAGGGAACGAGAAUCACUUUCGUUAGUAAUUACAUCUUUUGAGUGACAAGCUAUGGAAGUGGAGAAUAUUCAUAAGACAUAAUGAUAACAUCACAGAAUGAUAAGCUAUAGGCAAAACAAUAAGUUAUUACAUACCAGUACAAGCUAUUAGAAUAGAGAAUCUUUCAUAAGUUGCAACAUCUUGGAAUGAUUUACAAGACAGGAGAAUGUACUUUUUUAUAUUCAUUGUUGUGUGAAAUGAAUUGAAUUGCAUGAAUAUAUAUUGCAAGCAGUUGCUAUGGUUAUAUAUAGAAUCAUGAACAUGAAUUUCAUCACUGGAUGUUACAAAUAGUGAACUAAUUUCUUUAUUAUAUGCUUGUUACCUAAAAGAGAAAAGUUCAAAUUUACAGUGUAUGUGAAAAUAAAAGAACAAAGAUAGACACCAAGAGAAGGAAUGGUUGAGGGGUUAAUAUGUUUGAGGACAACUUUAUAGAGCAGUCAAUCAGCAAGGAUAUUAUGUAGAAUUAUAUUAUAAGUCUGCAAUAUGUACAGCAUUAUUUAAAUCAGCAUUUUUUUAUGAUGUAGAAUUAUAAGUCUGCAAUACGUACAGCAUUAUUUUAAAUAAUAAUUACAUACAAUGUGUCUGAAUGAUCUUUUGUUAUGUUAUGAUAUAGAUACCACCUUUAAACAUUUGUGUAUAAGUCUUGUUUUGUUACAGACUCCAAUAGGAGAUUGACAGCGUUCAUUACCUCAAAAAUAAAGACUUUUUGAUAUGAUAUGUUUUAGUCUAAUUUCAUGAGCAUAUAGUUUUAUAUAUAUGUUUAAAUCUAGAUUUAAGGUUAUUCCUCAUACAGUGUUUUUAUUUGUUAAAGUCUAGUUUAAGGUUAUAUAGUUCUAUUUGUUUAAUUCUAGUUUUUAGGUCAUAUAGUACUAUUACUUGUUAAAGUCUAGUUUUAAGGUUAUAUAGUUUUAGUAUUUGUUUAAGUCUUGAUUUAAGACUGUAUAGUUCUAUUGUUUGUUUAAGUCUAGUUUCAAAAGAGCUUAUAUAUCUUAUUAAACUUGCUAUUUAGUCAGAUAAGUUGUAAGGUAUGUGUUUUUACCUAGUCAACUUUUAAGUUUAUAUUGCUAUUUAGUCAGCUUUAUUAAAAUUUAUAUUUUCUGUCAGCUAUAUUUAUGUUCAAACUAUUUUAUCAGCCAGCUUCAGAGUUUACAUAUAAUUUAGUCACCCAGAUUUAGGUUUAGAUAUCUAGUCAACAAAAAAUUGUUUUUAGCUUAGUCAGCUAAAAUUGUUGUUUGCUUAGUCAGAUAAAAUUGUUUUUAGCUUAGUCAGCAAAAUUGAUUUAAGCACUUUUUGUUGGUCAGAUGUUGUAUUUAGCUAUUUAGUUAGUAAUUUAUUGUUAGCCUUUUAAGUCUGAGAACCAACUUUUUAAGUCUCCUGUUUGUUGAGGUAUAUUGAACUUAAAAUAUUUAGCUCAUCUUAUAAAAGUUCAGAUAUUUAGUUGGCUAUAUAUUUGUCAAACAACUUUCAAGUAAGCUACCAUAUUUAUGCAGCAAAAUUUAUAUGUUUUUAGUCAGCUAUUUUUUUUUAUGUCAGUCACAUACAAUAUUUAGUAAGUUAUUCUUUUAGCUGAAGUAUUUAGCCAGCUAAAUUUAAUAUUAGCUACUUAUACAGUAACAUUUUUUUGUCACAAUUUAUAAUAUCUUAUUGAAUAUGUAAAUAUACAUGUACCAAAUAUUGUUAUUUAGAUUAUUUGAGAUCAAUCAAAUUAUUAUCCAUGGUAAAUUAUCAAAGUAUUAUUCCUGCAAACUUAGUUGGAUAUAUAUUGCUAUUUUUUUUCGUGAUAAAAACAUUUACCAAAAUUAAUGUAGAAUUGUUGUAUAUACCCAAAUGUUCAGAAAUGUAGAGGUAUCCGUCUUUUUGAGGACGCAUUCCAGUCAGUUAGAAAAUGUUUAUAAUAUAUAAAUAUAUUUUUGUAUUCAGUUCUAAUAGUAUUGUUUCUAGAUUUUUAUGUUGUUUUUGAUAGUUUUUAAGAUUAUAUUUUUAGUGUUUUUAUCUAAGUCACAUAAAUUUUGUUUUCAUGUUUGUGAUAGUUUUAAAAUUUGAGUUUUAUCUAAGUCAAGUAAUUGAUAUAAUUUUAAAAUCUAUGUUGUCAUAGUAGUUGGACAUAAACCGAGUUAUAUCUGUAAAUAAAAGAUGGCUGGCCAAUUUGUUUUGUUUACAUGUAUGUCAGCUAAUUUUUAGUUGAGCUCAAGACAUUUCAUUGUAAAAUGAUCAAAGUAAAGAUUUAUAAAUGCAUACUAUAAAAUCAAACUUUUAUUUUAACAUUCCUACUUAAUAUUAAGACACAUUCCUUUUGAUGAAAGUUUCUUUUUAGACUUUUAAAAUUGCUGUUUUUGUUAUUUUCAUUUCUUAAUAAUUAUAAAGACUGAUUCAUUCCAUCUCUUUAUAGAAUUAUUUUCAUGAAAAUGU